GUGUGUGAGGGUGAUCCGGCUGUGACAACUGUCACCCCAUUGAUCACCAGGGUUGAUUUGGCUGCUCUGGCUGGCUAGGCGGGUGUCCCCUUCCUUCCUCACCACUCCAUGUGUCUCCCUCGUGAAGCUGCGCCUGCGCUCAUUCAAAGAGGACGACCUUCCCCGCUAGAGGACCAUUCUUUGGUCCAGGGACUAGGAGUAGCUGCACUCCCCUGCUAGAACUUCCAAACAAGCUGUCAAGACGACAAAGAUAAAAUAUUACUUUAUUUGCUUUGAGGUCUGAGAUAGUGUCAGGCAAUAAUAAAUGUAAAA
rnacentral:snRNA from 1 species